ensembl:lncRNA
GGUUGGUGUGAGCGAGGUGGUGGACACCUGGCCUUCAUUCUAAAUAUCGAUACACAGCAGUUCCUACAGAAGCACCUGCAGCCAGAGCAGGACUGGUGGCUGGGUCUGGCACCUGCCUCCCCAAACCUAACACUGUUGCUAAAGGUCCUCUCUCCUGGCAUGAUGGCUCUGACGUCAGCUACUCUAACUGGGUGAACGACCCUGAUCCAGGGGCUGGCUGUGGUCACAUACUGAGGAGCUCAGGGUUCCAGUGGGAGGCAACAAGCAACUGUAGCCAGGAGCUGCACUUCAUCUGCCAAUUUGGUGUCUGGAGCCAACGGCAGCAUCUCAAAGACCAGAGACAUUUGAAAACGGAAGCAUGCAGGUUUACAAUAUCUCAACCACUAUCCAAGGAUAUUUGCAAGUGUAAGUCAGGUCCUGGAUUGUCUUCUCACACAUGGAUGUGGAUAACACAGCAGUUGUUUGUCACAACAGUUCAGACCUCAGACAGAAAAGCAUAUGAGAGUUUGUCGAGCCUACACCUUGAGAAUUACUGCCAGUCCAGAAACUACCCGUCAAGACACUGAAAGCGUCAAACUUGAGGUAACUGGCUUAGGAGGACUAUCUAAUGGAAAGCAGAGCAAAUUUGAAUGGGAAUGCAGUAAGUACCAGUUAAGGCCUUUAAGCCACAGGGCUGUUGAAGAGAACCCUCUCACCCCACCCUAUUCCAGUAUAAAAUGAAAACAAUGACUGUAAACUUUGUUUCAUAACAUCAAUUUUCUGUAACAAUCUUAAUAGUUUUUUUCACUGUUUACUCAGUGUCGUGUCUCAUCUUUUUACAGCAUGGCCUUAUUGUGGUGUUUUCUAACCAUUUUCCCUUUCCAACUCCAGUAGAGGAAGACUGUAAGGGUAAGGGAAAAUGCAACGAUAAAACAACGGACAAGACUUGUUUGAUUGAAAAAGACUGUCUUCCAAACCCAUUCGAGCACUUUUUCUGUGAAGAGACGGAUUGGCAAUGGGAAAUGGGUUGACUGGAUUUAAACAUGGCGAUGCAUCACGGUUACUCCAACAAAAUUCACCAACUUUAGAAUUUGGUAAUAUGGGGAUAGGCCUAAAAUAGUGAAGUGAAUAUAUAUGUCAUGCUAUUUAUUUCAUGACAACUCCUAUCAGUAUCAUUAUAAAACAGGCAAUGACAAUAUUAUACAAAUUGCAAUUUAAAUAUCACUACAAUUAUAGUAUCAUCAUCAUAAUCAUCCUCAGAGAAGUACAAGUAACUUCCAAAAUAAAGGAAACACCAACAUAAAGUGUCUUAAUAGGGUGUUGGGUCACCACGAGCCGCCAGAACUGUUUCAAUGCACCUUGCAUAGAUUCUACAAGUGCCUGGAUCUCUACUGGAGGGAGGUGACACCAAUUUUCCUCUAGAAAUUCCAUCAUUUUGUGUUUUGUUGAUGCUGGUGGUGGAAAACGGUCUCAGGCGCCACUCCAGAAUCUCCAAUAAGUGUUCAAUUGGGUUGAGAUCUGGUGACUGAGACAAACACACACACACACACCGUUAACCCUGUAUGCUACUUUGAGACCCCUCUUUCAAAGUCACUGACAUCUCUUCAUCCAGCCAUGGUAACCAAAAUAAUGGGCAACUGGGCAUUUUUAUACAUGACCAUAAGAAUGAAGGGAUAAUAAUAAUUGCAUAAUUAACUCAGGAACAACACCUGUGUGGAAGGACCUGCUUUCAAUAUACUUUGUAUCCCUCAUUUAAUCAAGUGUUUCCUUUAUUUUGGCAGUUACAUGUGUUGGACAUCAUAAUGCUUUUGGACUGGCCUAAGUGGCCAUACAGAAUGUUGAUAAAUAUCUGGAAUGAAUCGAGUUAGAAAUUAUUUAGCUUAAACUAUUGACAGAUUUGUAAUCCUUAAGUGUACAACAGGGUAAUGACAUUAGCAUAUUAAUUGACUGAUUUAAUUAGAAUUCAGAAGAAAAUUGGUCACAUUUAACAUGCGUUGCUCUCAUGCCUAUGGAGCAUGCUGUAAUGACACUAAUAAUAAUGUUGCAUUAAAUGCCCAAUAAUGACAUAAUAAUGUAUGUAUUGCUUUGUUAUUACAAAGGUAAACUGUUUCUGGUACAACACUGUUACUAUUACCAUUUGUAUGAUAACAAUAACUGUCCAUUGCUAUGUAUUUACAAAGCAAUAAUCAAGUUACUAUGUUACAAAAUGUGAAUUCAAUGUUUUUAAGAUGAUCUAUUUUAUGCUAAAAAACAGUACCUAUAUUCUUUCAGUUGCCAGGAUAAUUGUAAUACAGUGGAUGUAAAAUGUUUUUUUUUAAAUGUACAAUUAAAAUUGGACUUACUGUUGAAGGACCCAAAACCUUCAACAGUAAGUCUGAGAUUCCUUUAUUGUUGCAUGCUGAAUGCAAUCAUAUUUUUUAUUGGUAUCAAACCAAAUUUUACUUGUCGCAUACACGUGUUUAGCAGAUGUUAUUGCGGGUGUAGCGAAAUGCUUAUUUUCAUGUGUGAAUGAGUUUCGUUAGAGUGCAUGAAUCAAUUUAUUGACUAACCCAUGUUGUCUAAUUUGGAGUUGACAUAUUGUAGAUAAAUAAAACAAAUUGAUGCAUAAACCCACCCGUUUCCCAACAACAGCCAGUAUCUGUACAGGCAGCUAUGCCAUGUAGAGAAGGAGUUGAGCCUACUGGGACCCUCUCGUUUCCCCAACUCAGACAGCAACUGCCGGG